rnacentral:rRNA from 1 species
ACAGCAGUCGCCGCGGGAAUACGGAGGGGGCUAGCGUUGUUCGGAAUUACUGGGCGUAAAGCGCACGUAGGCGGCUUGGUAAGUUAGAGGUGAAAGCCUGGAGCUCAACUCCAGAAUUGCCUUUAAGACUGCCGAGCUAGCAGGUGAGAGAGGUAAGUGGAAUUCCGAGUGUAGAGGUGAAAUUCGUAGAUAUUCGGAAGAACACCAGUGGCGAAGGCGACUGACUGGACAAGUAUUGACGCUGAGGUACGAAAGCGUGGGGAGCAAACAGGAUUAGAUACCCCUGUAGUCCCUGUCUCUUAUAA